rnacentral:rRNA from 1 species
CACGUAGGAGGCGAGCGUUGUCCGGAAUCAUUGGGCGUAAAGAGCGCGCAGGCGGCUUGGCAAGUCGGGUGUGAAAUCCCGGGGCUCAACCCCGGGACUGCAUUCGAUACUGUCAGGCUAGAGGUAGGUAGGGGAGAUCGGAAUUCCUGGUGUAGCGGUGAAAUGCGCAGAUAUCAGGAGGAACACCGGUGGCGAAGGCCGUUCUCUGGGCCUUACCUGACGCUGAGGAGCGAAAGCGUGGGGAGCAAACAGG